rnacentral:rRNA from 1 species
AAUACGCCCGAUCUCGUCCGAUCUCGGAAGCUAAGCAGGGUCGGGCCUGGUCAGUACUUGGAUGGGAGGCCGCCUGGGAAUACCAGGUGCUGUAAGCUU